GACUACGUGGUGUAGUGGUAACACAUCCACCUAAACUCGGAAACCGAGGGACUUGUGUGGAAAUCGCUGGUUCGAAUCCGGCUCCAGUCA